rnacentral:tRNA from 1 species
GGGGUUGUGGCUCAGCGGUAGAGCACUUGCUUAGCAUGCGUGAGGUCCUGGGUUCAAUUCUCAGCACCA